CCAGAGCAUCAACUCCACUCUCAGCCAGGGCUUAGAAGGGACUGUCUCGCAGGACGGAAACACGCCAAACACAGAGCCUGAGGUGACCCAGACCACAGACUGGCCAUUGGUGUUAGGAGCUGGGUCUGCCGCGGCACUGUUUCUCGUCAUCGUCAUUGGAUUGGCUAUCGUUAUACACAGGAGAAUGGCUGAGCUUGCAAAGGAGAAGAAGAAGAGGGAAGAGGAUAAGUUUUGGAGUCAAGUGCGUACAAGAGACCACGUCAUAGAUCUCCCUGUUCCACGUCUAAGCAGUUGUUUGAAGGAUAUUGGACCAGCUAAUGCCGAUUACGCAAACCCGAGGACUCUCUCUACAUUUACAAAUCAAUCCUUCUGCUGAGUUUCUUUCCUAAAAUGUUAUGUUUAUUGUGUAAAUAUGUUUCUAGUCUACCUAUGCCCUAAUUACUGUAUUUUCUAUGGAUGGUGUCAUGGCAAAAAUGUUUAUUUAACUCAUAACCUUUAUUGAACUAUUGCAUGUACAUCCUGCAUAAUUUCAGUUUUUUUUUUUUUUUACACUUUAUAGUGUUUGUCCAUUUCACAACAGCCAAAGUGCUUUUUUGUUGACAAAUGUAUGUUGUUUUAUCAGUAUUUAUUUACUCAUGCACAAAUUGAGGUGUGAGCCAAUCCACAUAUCUUUCCUACAGUACAUGUCCAGUGUGUUGAACACAAGCUCCUGAUAAUAAGACAUGAGCUUGAUUCGUCAGUAGGGGGCACUGUGCAACUGACGCUUUCUGUCAAUGAGACUGGAUGAGACUGGGUAGGCCUACACUUUAUGGGUAGGGUAGGGGAAAGAGUUGUUUGCUUUUUUCAAAAGAGUAGCUGUCACAGUUUGAUGGUACUAAUAAAAUGUUUUAUAUUAUAUGAUGUGGUUGGGGUGAAAGACAGCUUGAACUUGAGUUUGUACAAAGGUGUUAGAAUAAAGGCUUGAUCAAUAUUUCAGUUAUGAACUUUUGUCAUUAAAGUAUGUUGUACAGAAUCUUUGAAAAAUAUUUUCAAAAGUCACUCCAUGGUUGAUAAUUAUGUAAAUAAUCUUUGACUCUUUUAAGUGGUUACAUCAGGAAAUAUGACCUUACUUCAGUUUAUAGCACAAUCAACUUUAAAAGUCAUGUUUGUCAGUUUUACCACGCUCAGUUCCGUUAAGUUUCGGUUUCGUAUAAACUCAAGUGUUAUUUAAGAGUUUCAGGUCAAACAAACAGACCAUUGACCACCAUAUCCAAGUGUUGGUCUCGGGUGAUUUGAAAUUGGUAUUGUGUGCCUUCCCUCCGCCAGUAUUUGUUGAGUAUUUGUUUGAGACUGAAUGGCGAUCGAGUGACUCAGUGGACACAGCAGGGUUGGGUUGGGCUGAGCAGCUGAGGUGUGGAGAAUUGUGUGUGCUGUGCUGGACUGGCCAUUUGGCAUAGCGGACAUUUCCCGGUGGGU